rnacentral:rRNA from 1 species
UCCGGUUGAUCCCGCCGGAGGUUACUGCUAUCGAGGUUCGACUAAGCCAUGCGAGUCGAAUGUAGCAAUACAUGGCGUACUGCUCAGUAACACGUGGAUAACCUACCCUUGAGAUGGGGAUAAACCCGGGAAACUGGGUAUAAUACCCAAUAGAUCUCGACUGCUGGAAUGCAUCGAGCUCCAAAGCUCCGGCGCUCAAGGAUGGAUCUGCGGCCAAUCAGGUAGUAGUGGGUGUAGUGUACCUACUAGCCUACGACGGGUACGGGUUGUGAGAGCAAGAGCCCGGAGAUGGAUUCUGAGACGCGAAUCCAGGCCCUACGGGGUGCAGCAGGCGCGAAAACUUUACAAUGCUGGAAACAGCGAUAUGGGGACCUCGAGUGCCAGGUUACAAAUCUGGCUGUCGUGAUGCCUAAAAAGCAUUGCAUAGCAAGGGCCGGGCAAGACCGGUGCCAGCCGCCGCGGUAACACCGGCGGCUCGAGUGGUAACCGUUAUUAUUGGGUCUAAAGGGUCUGUAGCCGGCCGGAUAAGUCUCUUGGGAAAUCUGGCAGCUUAACUGUCAGGCUUUCAGGAGAUACUGUCUGGCUCGAGGCCGGGAGAGGUGAGAGGUACUUCAGGGGUAGGGGUGAAAUCUUGUAAUCCUUGAAGGACCACCAGUGGCGAAGGCGUCUCACCAGAACGGACCUGACGGCAAGGGACGAAAGCUAGGGGCACGAACCGGAUUAGAUACCCGGGUAGUCCUAGCCGUAAACGAUACUCGCUAGGUGUCGGCAACGGUGCGACCGUUGUCGGUGCCGUAGGGAAGCCGUGAAGCGAGCCACCUGGGAAGUACGGCCGCAAGGCUGAAACUUAAAGGAAUUGGCGGGGGAGCACCACAACGGGUGGAGCUUGCGGUUUAA